ACCAAAGAUUUAUCGCUCUGGGAUGGGCUCAUGUCUGAUUAGAUAGUUGGCGGGGUAACGGCCCACCAAGUCUGCGAUCAGUAGCCGGACUGAGAGGUUGAACGGCCACAUUGGGACUGAGAUACGGCCCAGACUCCUACGGGAGGCAGCAGUGGGGAAUAUUGGGCAAUGGGCGCAAGCCUGACCCAGCAACGCCGCGUGAAGGAAGAAGGCUUUCGGGUUGUAAACUUCUUUUAUCAGGGACGAAGAAAGUGACGGUACCUGAUGAAUAAGCCACGGCUAACUACGUGCCAGCAGCCGCGGUAAUACGUAGGUGGCGAGCGUUGUCCGGAUUUACUGGGUGUAAAGGGCGCGUAGGCGGGAAGGCAAGUCAGGUGUGAAAUCUAUGGGCUCAACCCAUAAACUGCACUUGAAACUGUUUUUCUUGAGUGUCGGAGAGGUAGAUGGAAUUCCUAGUGUAGCGGUGAAAUGCGUAGAUAUUAGGAGGAACACCAGUGGCGAAGGCGAUCUACUGGACGAUAACUGACGCUGAGGCGCGAAAGCGUGGGGAGCAAACAGGAUUAGAUACCCUGGUAGUCCA
rnacentral:rRNA from 1 species